AUGGCCACCUCCUUCGCGCGGCCAUGGCUGCCGGCCCUCGCUGCUACCCACGCUGCCCCCUUCUGCGCGGCCAUGGCGACCGUCUCUGCGCGGAGGCCGGCCACGCCACACGCCAAGCCAGGGAAGGAGCGCCGCGCGAGGAGCAGCCGGCACCCAGGAGCACAGCCGCCGCCAACCACGCGCCAUGGCCAGGGGGCUGGGACUCCGGCCGCCGCGCCCAGGAGCUGGGACUCCGGCCGCCGCGCCCAGGAGCUGGGACUCCGGCCGCCGCCUUCGGACUCCAUGGCCGCCGUGCCUUAG
rnacentral:rRNA from 1 species